AUGGCGAGGAGGAGGGCCCUCGCGCUCGUGUCCCAGCUCCUCCAGAGGCGGGUUCUCCCCGCGCCGCGCUUCCUCUCGUCGGCGGCCGGCGGCGCUCUAGACCGCCUCAAUUCGCCGCCCUUCGCACGCCCGGCCGCGCCCAGGAAUCCCGCUUCCCCUUCCCCAUGGGAUCGGCUCGGAGGGCAGAAGAGGACCAUGUUCAUCCAGACGCAGUCGACCCCCAACCCGCAGUCGCUCAUGUUCCAUCCUGGAAAGCCGGUUAUGGAAGUUGGGAGCUCUGAUUUCCCUAAUGCUCGGACUGCGAUGACAUCACCUUUGGCGAAGGCACUGUUUGCGAUCGAAGGAGUUACAAGAGUAUUCUUUGGAUCUGAUUUUGUAACUGUGACAAAAUCUGAUGAGACUUCAUGGGACUAUCUUAAGCCUGAGGUCUUUGCUGCGAUAAUGGAUUUCUACUCAUCUGGACAGCCACUUUUCCUGGACUCAAAUACCGCAGCUGCUAUGGACACAGCAAUUCAUGAGGAUGAUUCAGAAAUAGUUGCUAUGAUAAAAGAACUGUUGGAGACCCGUAUUCGUCCGGCUGUUCAAGAUGAUGGUGGUGACAUUGAAUACCGAGGAUUUGAGCCAGAAACAGGAAUAGUGAAGCUAAAAAUGCAAGGUGCCUGCAGUGGCUGCCCGAGUUCAUCAGUCACGUUGAAAUCUGGCAUAGAGAACAUGCUCAUGCACUAUGUGCCCGAGGUGAAAGGAGUGGAGCAGGAGUUUGAUGGUGAUGAGGAAGCUGAACUGGCUGGCCAGAUGGAAUGA
rnacentral:rRNA from 1 species